rnacentral:rRNA from 1 species
GACGUAGGGCGCGAGCGUUGUCCGGAUUUAUUGGGCGUAAAGAGCUCGUAGGCGGCUUGUCGCGUCGACUGUGAAAACUUGGGGCUCAACCCCAAGCCUGCAGUCGAUACGGGCAGGCUAGAGUUCGGUAGGGGAGACUGGAAUUCCUGGUGUAGCGGUGGAAUGCGCAGAUAUCAGGAGGAACACCGGUGGCGAAGGCGGGAUCCUGGGCCAGUACUGACGCUGAGGAGCGAAAGCGUGGGGAGCAAACAGG